rnacentral:rRNA from 1 species
UACGUAGGGUGCAAGCGUUAAUCGGAAUUACUGGGCGUAAAGCGUGCGCAGGCGGUCCGUUAAGACAGAUGUGAAAUCCCCGGGCUUAACCUGGGAACUGCAUUGGUGACUGGCAGGCUUUGAGUGUGGCAGAGGGAGGUAGAAUUCCACGUGUAGCAGUGAAAUGCGUAGAGAUGUGGAGGAAUACCGAUGGCGAAGGCAGCCUCCUGGGCCAACACUGACGCUCAUGCACGAAAGCGUGGGGAGCAAACAGG